UUUACCUCCACGUUUUCACUGAUCUCUUUCUCCAGACCCUCCCAGAAGACUCCACCAUCGCUGGUAGCGGCGACGUUGGUGAACACGGUGUCCUUGAAGAUGGUCUUCAUGGCGUUUGGGUUCGUAGCGAAGCUGGUGCCCGGUGCGACCCCGAAGAAUCCAUUCUCUGGAUUGAUGGCACGCAGUUUACCUUCUCUGUCAAAUCUCAUCCAGGCAAUAUCGUCGCCCACGCAUUCGACCUUGUAUCCUGGUAAGGUCGGCUGCAUCAUGGCCAAGUUCGUUUUGCCACAGGCGCUGGGGAACGCAGCAGCAAUGUAACGCUUUUUACCCGUCGGGCUCGUGAUACCUAGUAUCUACAAAUGGUAACUGCUGGAAAUUUUACUGGGUUCGUGAAAGACCCCGAGACACCAUAAAAGGGUUAAUAGACUCUCGAUGGUUAACAUGUUAAAAGGACCAAUAUAUUGUUCUUCUACAUUGACUACCAUCUCUAGAACUGUUUCAGUUUCAUUACGUACAAGCAUGUGUUCGGCUAGCCAACCCUCUCUCUUAGCAAUGGUCGAGCCAAUUCGCAAAGCAAGACACUUCUUGCCCAGCAACGAAUUUCCUCCAUAACCGCUUCCAUAAGAGACGAUCUCGUUCACAGCUGGUCUGUGGAGGAUGAUGGUCCUUUCUGGAUCACAUGGCCACGAUGACACCACGGUGACUUUGGUGUCCAGCUUUGGGGCACCGACAGAGUGUAGACACUUGACGAAAUCAUUCUCCCCCAGGCUCUCCAGGACCUUGCUUCCCAUUCUAGUCAUUAUCCUCAUCGAGCAGACCACGUAAGGGGAGUCUGUGAUCUCUAUCCCAAUUUUGGAGAGCGGAGACCCUACUGGACCCAUGCUGAACGGGAUCACGUACAUCGUUCGACCUAAAAUGAGAUUGUUACUUAGAAGAUCUGUUGUUAACCAAGUUGGACCAAGUUAACCAUGAUCUGUUGUUAAACCUUUCAUGCAUCCUGGAAAUCGUUCCAGAAUGGCUUGGUCCAUGUUGGAAGGAGAGAUCCAGUUGCCUAGUUCUCCAGUGACGCCUUCACGAGGAGUGGGAAUGGUUUCUCGUUUCGUUUCGGUGCUGAUGAACGUGCGAUUCUCUACCCUGGCCACGUCUGCGGGAUUCGUUCUGGCCAGCCAGCUGAGAAUUUAGCGUAAUGAGUAAGAGAUUAUCUCGAAAUUGAAAUUAGUAGCAUUGCAAAAAUUUUUCGGCACUUUAAAGAUCGGGCCUUUAUAAUGUAUCUAUCGUAAUAUUUGGCUUUCAAUAACGAUCACGUUGUUCAAUGAUAGAUUAAUCACUAUAGUAAAUCAGAUGGAAAUUAAAAUAUGCUUUUCCGGAUGGUAAAGAGAACUUAUAGAUCUCGUUCUAUAUCGCUAAAACCUUAUAAAGACAGAGUUAUUUAAAGAAAUUUUGGAAAAAUGUCAAUAAAUUUGAAAAUAAGAACGGUCACAUACGCGAGUGACUUCCUGAGCAUGCUAUACGGUGCAAGUUAUUCUGUAGAUGAUUCUAUUGACGCGUGCACAUCAUUCUGUGCAAUCUGAGGAACUUUACCAUUUCGUAGAUCUAUUCUGCAGCGAUGAAAAUUAUUCUAGAUCAUUACCUACCAAUUUUUAUACUUCGGCAAUGGUGAAAUGGUGCCAUUUUUCUCCAGCAGCUGCAACAAAUGGCUGUAUUCCGCCUCGCUGCCGUCACAGAUGUAUAUGUCCUUUGGGUUGCAGAGGGUGACGCAUUCCUCGAUGUAGGAACGAAUUUUGGGAGCUAGAGGCUCCGCGGGGCUGUUCAGCAAGGGUGUUUUUCCAAUUAACUCAUAGUUGUUGUUCACAGCCGGGAUUUUGGCUGCGUGAGUUACCAGCAGCCUCGGCACCCUGCAAAAAAAACAAUUUGUUAAAUCAUUCAACGAUUCUGCGAGUUUCACCACGAAAUAAAUUUGCCGAGUUCUUGCGGGAGCUUCUCGGCACGUCGAUCCGCUAAGCAAAAGUGCAUUAGAUCGAGCACCAAGCAUUAGACUGCAUCGUUGAUUGUGUAACAGGUUGCUCGAUCGAUCCACUCUCACUUCGUCAAAGACCUUGUCCAGGUAAAAAAUGAAUUUUCACGUUUCUAGCGUGCCGCAUGGAAGUCGGUACCUCUGGUUCACCGUGUCAGUGACUUUUACGCUAAAUUAUCCUCAAUCAUAGUGUUCGUUAUGUUAUGUGAUGCAAUUCAGUGUACGAACUCGCUUGUUAAAUAUCAUGUCUAUUUUCUUGAACCAAUCGGCGAAGGAAAUUUAUCGCAUUAUGAAACAAAAUUGCAAAAUUAUUUUGCGGAGAGGACAGCGAAGAUUAUUAUGUAAGGAUCAAAGUCUUGAGAUGCUCCGAACACUCAGGAAGUUCAUUUAGUAAUUAGAAUUCUGGGUAAAAUUUAUAAUUCGUCGUGAUAACGCAUAUCGGAUUGUUUGUUAUCGAAGAAACAUAUUGAUUCUGCGAUAAGGAAACUGAUGAAUAAAUGUUUCGAAAUAAAUUAAAAUAUCUGAUUUGUUUUCGCAAGAGCUGGAAAGUGGCAAAAGUUUAAAGUCCAGGUUGCUUCUAAUAAAAGUUAGAUCCGAACGAUCCUUACUAAGUUGCUGAUCGUUAAACGAGAUCAAUAUUUCCUGAAGAAACGGUGAGAAGAAAGUGUCUACUAGACAUGUUUUCUCCUAAUCCUUUACACAAUUUCAAAAUUCUCCUAACAUUUGCGGUCUCUAAUUCCAACGAAUCCUCUUCUCUACUUACUGUGGGUAGCAAACGUCGACAGCGUGAGGCAUUCCGCAGCUGUUGGGAAUGAUUCGAUGGCUCAAGAUCGCGAACCGCACGGUCUGCUGACCGGUUCUGGAUGCAUUGACUGUUCCCAGUGAUCCCGAACAGCAAACCCUGUGUCCAAGGGUUGAUCCAGUAAGAGUGGAGAACCGUCUGGAAGUCUUGAGACUGGUGGCUAGGCUUGACCACCGAAUAAGAUCGAUUCGCAGAGACAUGUCGCUCGAUGAACUCUUUUAUAGGAUCGACAAAGGUAAUGACGAGCCCUAGCUCUUCGUUCCGGGGAUUGGUGGUGUCGCACACUUCCGGUGGAUAGUGGGGAGACCGAUGAGGCUGAUGCGUGAACGAUCGCUGAAUCAGUCGCGCGUUAGGAGCGCUGGACUCUAUGGAUCUUUCGCUAGUCGGGGAUAAUGCGAAACGCUGGUCGUGCAGAGAUCGUUUGUUGGACCAGCGGAUAAUUAAAUGGAGAAUUUAACAGAGUUUUUAGCGUAAUGACACCGGAUGACAAUUGACAGAGCUUUCCACCGCGAACACGGCCGAUCACACGGCUACUGACAGACUGCGGCUAACCCGGACCGGUCACGAUAUAGAAGUAAAAGCAAUCGCCGGACGAUUAGUCGGCCCACGCUCGACAAGCAUUAACACGAAAUUGCCGCUGGUCGAGUUUUACACUGAAAGCUUGUUACCGACACUUGCUCUUCUAUUUUUGCGCGAACGCUUUCCCUUGCACGCUAUCUGGUUCGCCGCGCGACGCUUGUUCGUCAACUGACAAGCCUGCUCGAACACCGCGAAUUAUCGCUGGGUUUUAGGCAGGUGACAUGUCGGUCCGCGUGUACAGAUUGUUUUUACUUUUGUGACGCGACAGCUAAUUGCGGGGGAGAGCAGAGAUUCGGAUUGAGAUCUUCGCGAUUGGACCGCUUAGUUAGUACAACAGUGAAAAAGAGUUUUGAGCGGUGGUUCGUAUCCUUUGACAGUUCUGAUGCAAGAACUGUUGCAUCAUGAUUAACCCUUAUGUCAAUACACAGAAUGUUCAAUAGUGUUGCAGUCGUUAGACUUCGUAGUUGCAGUCAUUAGACUUCCUAGUAGCAGUCAUUAGACUUCAUAGUUUUCAGCGCAUAUUUUUAUGUAAAACGAUUUUCAUCAGUAACGUUAUUUCCUGUUCGUUGCUAGUUUAUAUACAGCUUUUUCAAGUGAAAUUAAAAGUACAGCUACUUAGGUGUCGACGUAAGAGUUAAGUAGUAGCAGAUUGCGGAUUUUUAUGCAUAAUAAAAAUGUCCAGAAAGAGAGAGAUUAAAUAAAAAUAUGUAGAACAAUGUUCUUAAACUCUUCUAUUAUAUCUUCACAGCUUUAUAUUUCAUCUAUUCAUUUUUAUCACAAAUGCAUAAACUACGCAACCUAAUAAUAAACAAGCGCAAUUCGUGUAUGUUAGGACAUCGAAUUAACGAGCAAACAUGUUUAUGCGUUGAUAAAGUGUAGAAUAAAUUGUAGAGACUAGGAAAAAGAUUUCUUCAGGAGUGCUGUAAAUGCGCAGAAUCCACGGCGUUAGUACUUUCUAAUUAAUGACUUGGAACCGCGUUUCCGUCCGCGAGCCAAUUUCACCAUCAAUCUGUUGUCAAUCCAUCGGUAAUCAAAGAACUAUACUCUUCUUCUGCGUACCGCUUGUCUACUUCCUCUUGCAUUGCUGAAAAGAAUUCCGCUUUUGAAAGUUGUUGAUGGAAAUAUCGCAGGACAAUGGAGGUGGUCAAGUGUUGGUAGUAUAAUACGAUACCAAGAAGCGGAAUGUUAGUUCGCGAGGAAGACAUCAGCAGGAAGUCGGUGUUUUGGAAAUAUCUGCGACGAUUCUACCUGAAACGUAACAGCUAGUCAGAUAUCGAUCGAAGUUGUAAAAUAAUUAUUUCUAGCGGUUGCUGACCUAGAUCAUUGUGCAGAUGCUAUUCAAGUUUAUAAAUUCGAGAGAGUGUUUUCAAAUUCGUUAAAAAAUGUUCAGAAUCAAUCAUUAUCGAACGGAGUCGAUAUCUAAUCAAUGAGCCUACUUAUACAUAUAGUUCAAAGUAUAAUUCCUAAGUCACCAUCGAGACAGAAUCAAUUCUUUCAAGAUAAAGAGAACAAGCAAUUUUUUUCAGGAGUACUUUACUUGAAUCGUCAACGUGCAUGAUUAAUUGUUUGCAGAUAUCGGAGGAGAUAAGAGACCAACUGUUUUUGUAUCUUUUCGAUGAUCCCUGGUUAGGUGGUGCAGUUCUUUCGCAAGUCAUUCGAAUAGGCUCAUCGAUCCGUCCUUAUUCCGAGAAAUGUGGGAUCCGUAAAUUAUCGCAGCUAGACAGUGAACCACGGACCAGGCUAGUAGCGGAUUUCAUUGACGAGAUGCAUUGUUGUAAGCUGCGGUGUAAUGAGAUCCGUAAGUGCAUUGCAGUAGAAUUUCGAGCACGAUGAUCGAGAUUGUCCAACAUUCUAUGAUUGGACCGUGCGGAUCUUUAUGCAAAACAAAAAUUUUUUUGGAUAAAUUGCGACUGUUUGAUUCCUUAAUAAUGACUCUGUUCACGUAAAUUUUCCAAAGCUAAGUUUCAGUCAUGAUGCAGCUCCGAGCAUGAGAAAAUCGCCAAAAAAACGUUAUCGCGUUAAUUCAAUAGCAUUAAAGAACAAUAUCUUUCCGUUUGCAAAUCGACGAUAACGAUUCUCGAAAUAAGUGCAGUAUCUGACAGUGAAAAUCCUGGUGAUAUCAAUAAUGAAUUAUCUAACGUUCGCAAUUAUUAAGGCACAGAAAUUCGCUUGCAAACACGACGAAAAAAGCGUAAAUUGUUGAGACGUGAUUGCUCAGAGGAAGAAACUGUGUGUUCGCAUAUUGUACUUUGAUCUAAGUUGGUCAAUACGCAAUUCAUACAAUUUUAUUGUUCAUCGAGAUCUCUCGCGGUUCGAGAUCUUCGAACUUUGUUUGGGGUCCAGAGUCGUUUGUCUUUAAUCGUAGUGAUUAAUUUCCUGGAAAAUUUCUGCGAUCCGCUCGAACAUUUCUUGACAGACAGUUUCUUCCGAUUUGAUCCAGCAAUCAAAAGUAUUUGAUAAAUUUUAAUUAAUUCCUAAAUAUUUAUUUCAUACUCAGUUCGUGUUAAAACAUAAUUCAAGUAACUGACUCAAUUACAGUUGCCGAUGUUUCUCGUGACCCUGAUAAAAUGUUUUUGCACCAAUUUUCAAUCUGCGUCGCAGAAUAUUGCAAAUAUUGCAAAUAUUUUAAUUCUUUUGUUUCUUCCGAAAAUUUGAAUUUUGCAAUCUUAAUUUAUGUGCUUGGAUGAAGCACAUGAAGA